AUGGCCAAGCCGUGUGGGGUGCGCCUGAGAGGGGAGGCUUGUAAACAGGUGGAGAUCUUCAGGCAGAAUCUUUUCCAGGAGGCUGAGGAAUUCCUCUAUAGAUUCUUGCCACAGAAAAUCAUAUACCUGAAUCAGCUCUUGCAAGAGUACUCCCUCAAUGUGGCUGACCUGACUUCCCUCCGGGCCCCACUGGACAUUCCAUCCCAGGCCCUCCACCCAAGGAUGAUGAGAUGGAAACAGAUAAGCAGGAGAUGAAAGAAGUUCCUAAGUGUGGAUUUCUCUCUAGGAAUGAGAAGGUCCUGUUCCUGCUUGCCCUGGUUAAACCAGAAGUCUGGAGUCUCAAAGAGAAAUGCAUUCUGGUGAUCACAUGAAUCCAGCAUCUGAUCUGCAAGAUUGAAGAUGGAAAUGAUUUGGGGGUAGCAAUCCAGGAAAAGGUGCUGGAGAGGGUGAAUGCCAUCAAGACCAAAGUGGAAGCUUUCCAGACAACCAUUUCCAAGUACUUCUCAGAACGUCGGGAUGCUGUGGCCAAGGCCUCCAAGGAGACUCAUGUAAUGGACUACCGGGCCUCGGUUCACCAGCAAGAUGAGGCAGCCUAUGGGGAGCUCAGGGCCAUGGUGCUGGACCUCAGGGCCUUGUAUGCUGAGAGGUUUAUCAUAUCAGCAGCGGCAACCUGCAGAAAAUUGUCAACCCAAAGGGUGAAGAGAAGCCAUCUAUGCACUGA